rnacentral:lncRNA from 1 species
GAGGUACGUUUACUUCUGCAUUCAAAUUAAAAUUUCCUACAUUCAAUGAUAUCAGAACCACUUUCUAUAUUAUUUUGUUCACUCUAUAUAGAUUUAUAAUCUUGAGAAAAAUUUGUAUAUGCCAUAUUUUAUUUUUAUUUUUGACAUGAUGUAUAAAAUGAAGAAAAAAACCUCCAUUUCUUCCUCCACGACCGUCAGGAUGAGCUAAUAGCAAGUCCUAAAGCCACAUCGUUGGAUGUAGAUUUGAUUGGCCACUAUUGUGAUCAGAAUCAUCACAAUCAGGAUUUGCUCUCAAAUACUGUAAAUGAUUUAUGAUUAUUUAUUUAUUUAUCUUAAAAGACAUAAUUUAUUUUUAAAAGAUUGAAAUUUUUUUUAAAUAAAUAAAUAAGUAUAAAAAGAAACAGGAGAGAGGAAGAAUAGAAAUUUUUCCAUAGUCAUCCUCUCUCCC